rnacentral:rRNA from 1 species
UACGAGAGGCGCAAACGUUAUUCGGAAUUACUGGGCUUAAAGAGUUCGUAGGCGGCGCAGAAAGUAGGGUGUGAAAGCCCUCGGCUCAACCGAGGAAUUGCGCUCUAAACUACUGUGCUUGAGGGACCUAGAGGUGAGCGGAACUGAUGGUGGAGCGGUGAAAUGCGUUGAUAUCAUCAGGAACACCGGAGGCGAAGGCGGCUCACUGGGGGUCUUCCGACGCUGAGGAACGAAAGCCAGGGGAGCGAACGGG